rnacentral:rRNA from 1 species
AUUGAACGCUGGCGGCAGGCUUAACACAUGCAAGUCGAGCGGAGCGGCGGACGGGUGAGUAAUGCCUAGGAAUCUGCCAGGUAGUGGGGGAUAACGUCCGGAAACGGGCGCUAAUACUGCAUACUAUCAGAUGAGCCUAGGUCGGAGUAGCUAGUUGGUGGGGUAAAGGCCUACCAAGGCGACGAUCCGUAACUGUUCUGAGAGGAUGAUCAUGCAAACUGUAACUGAGACACGGUCCAGACUCCUACGGUAGGCAGCAGUGGGGAAUAUUGGACAAUGGGCGAAAGCCUGAUCCAGCCAUGCCGCGUGUGUGAAGAAGGUCUUCGGAUUGUAAAGCACUUUAAGUUGGGAGGCGUUACCAACAGAAUAAGCACCGGCUAACUUCGUGCCAGCCGCCGCGGUAAUAC